rnacentral:rRNA from 1 species
AGUGAACGCUGGCGGUAGGCCUAACACAUGCAAGUCGAACGGCAGCACAGUAAGAGCUUGCUCUUACGGGUGGCGAGUGGCGGACGGGUGAGGAAUACAUCGGAAUCUACUUUUUCGUGGGGGAUAACGUAGGUAAACUUACGCUAAUACCGCAUACGACCUACGGGUGAAAGCAGGGGAUCUUCUGACCUUGCGCGAUUGAAUGAGCCGAUGUCGGAUUAGCUAGUUGGCGGGGUAAAGGCCCACCAAGGCGACGAUCCGUAGCUGGUCUGAGAGGAUGAUCAGCAAAACUGGAACUGAGACACGGACCAGAAUACUACGGGAGGCAGCAGGGGGGAAUAUUGGACAAUGGGCGCAAGCAUGAUACAGCAAUACCGCGUGGGUGAAGAAGGACUUCGGGUUGUAAAGGCCUUUUGUUGGGAAAGAAAAGCAGCAGGUUAAUACCCCGCUGUUAUGACGGUACCCAAAGAAUAAGCACCGGCUAACUUCGUG